UGGACUCUGCGUCCCUUGAAUAAGGAUU
rnacentral:misc_RNA from 1 species